rnacentral:rRNA from 2 species
GGGUGCGCAGCCAACACAUGGCAAGUCCGAGCGGGAAGAAGGGAGCUUGCUCCCGGAUUUAGCGGCGGACGGGUGAGUAACACCUGGGAAUCUGCCUGAUAGUGGGGGAUAACGUCCGGAAACGGGCGCUAAUACCGCGUACGUCCUACGGGAGAAAGCAGGGGAUCUUCGGACCUUGCGCUAUCAGAUGAGCCCAGGUCGGAUUAGCUUGUUGGUGAGGUAAUGGCUCACCAAGGCGACGAUCCGUAACUGGUCUGAGAGGAUGAUCAGUCACACUGGAACUGAGACACGGUCCAGACUCCUACGGGAGGCAGCAGUGGGGAAUAUUGGACAAUGGGGGCAACCCUGAUCCACCAUGCCGCGUGUGUGAAAAGUCUUCGAUUGUAAA